rnacentral:rRNA from 1 species
UACGUAGGUCCCGAGCGUUGUCCGGAUUUAUUGGGCGUAAAGCGAGCGCAGGCGGUUAGAUAAGUCUGAAGUUAAAGGCUGUGGCUUAACCAUAGUACGCUUUGGAAACUGUUUAACUUGAGUGCAGAAGGGGAGAGUGGAAUUCCAUGUGGAGCGGUGAAAUGCGUAGAUAGAUGGAGGAACACCGGUGGCGAAAGCUGCUCUCUGGUCUGUAACUGACGCUGAGGCUCGAAAGCGUGGGGAGGAAACAGG